UCGAUCUAGAAACAUAGGGGGCGACCAACUCACCUACAAACCCUAAUCGUGCAAUUUUCACCAAAUUGAGGGCUCCAAUCUAGUCUAAAUCGAUUUCCAAGCAUGAAUUCGUGAUCACCUCGUUGAAGGGGUCAUAAGGCAAGGAAUCCGGAUCGUCGAGCGGAAAAGCCGGAGGAGAUACGCGUUUGAAAGGUGUGCUUUAAAGUUAAAGAAAUGUCUGCAAUAACCGGAGAUGAUUCGACAUCUCAAUUGACUGAACAAAUGAAAGCUAAGAUUUCCGAGGCAGUCGGAAAAGCUCUAGAAAAUAGUCUAUCACGUUAUAUUGAUAGAUUACAAACCACAAUCGUGCCGGUGGUGGACGAUAUUAUGGCUGAAUUGAAAGACAUCAUAUUACAAGAAAUAGAAGAAAGGAGGGUGUUGGAUAUGAAUCCAAGUUCCGUAAAGAAAUCCAAGUCUAAUAAAGCUCCCAAGAAAGGAGUUACAAAAAGUGUGUUACAUCAGUGCAAAUUUUGUGGAAAAAUUCACAAGGGCACAUGUGGUAAGCCAAGACAUAAGAAGUCUAAAUGUCCAGAAAGGCUUGGAACCAAAGACGCAACCGACACAAUGUCUGAUGCCCAGAAGUCAAGGACAAGGUCGUUUUUUUAUAACAGCCACAGAGGCUAAAGUUGAACCUGAUGUCAUUUCAGGCAAGGAAUCCGGAUCGUCGAGCGGACAAGCCGGAGGAGAUACGCGUUUGAAAAGUGUGCUUUAAAGGUGAUGUUGGAACUAACCGGAAGAUGAUCGAGCUAGCUUUUGAAGAACCGAACACUAAUUACAAGCUUCCGCAGUGUUUUAAACUUUAUUAGAAUAUGGUUAUGGGUUGUAAACAAAUAGCUAAACAACUUUUGGAUGUUUGAAUUUAGACGUUAUUCGACUAAGGUUUUUGCCACUAAUGAACUAUAUGUAUGAAAUUCAUGUUAACUUGGCAAUUUUUAUCUAAAACGUUUUGAAAUUA